GACUAGAUACGAUUUGUGAUCUUUUGACGUAUCAUUGAAAGAAAUCGGUUCGGUGAGAGCUGAGAAAAAGUGGUAACAGACACAAAAAAAAACACAUCAUAGUAAAACCAAUACCUUCUCAACUUCGCAUCGAAACUAAAAAUGUAUAGUGAAGUUCGGUUUAGUUGUAAUGUAUGCUCAAAAAAUUAGUAAGAAAGAGAGCCUUAAUAAGAUACCAGAAGUUAAUAUAUAAUAAAACCCGUCCAGUCCAAUAGUAUAUCAAUAGAAGAAAUGUUUUAAAAUCUAUAAUGUGGAUCAACCAUUACAUAAUUUACUUAUGCCUAAAUGUCAACUUCUAAGAAUGUAAAUGAAGAUCACCUUAAACGUAUUCUUAAUUAUGGAUUGUUUUUGGAGGAAUCAAGACCUGAGUUAAUUACGUUGCUAAAACGUUUACUUAAUUCAAACUACGUGGUGUAGUUUGUACAUAUGAAGUCCUAUUGACGAGUUUCUGAAAGAAGAUUUCACUAAACUACUACUAGAGCAAGGGGAAUGUUUAGGUAAAAGUAGCGAUUUUACGUUAUAAUUGAUUGAUGACAUUCUAUUGAGCACUAACAAAUAUAUGCCUUUUGGUGGUGGUAAAUAUGUCAUAGCAUUAUAAAGUUAAAAAUGUAAAAAAUAAAAUCGAGAAUUUUCACACAAUAAUAGCA